AGCGGACUGAUGUACUGGCCCUUAGUACAGCUAACCAACUUCAGCCUUGUUCCUGUUCAAUGGAGAACAGCUUACGCUGGAGUCUGUGGUUUUCUCUGGGCCACCUUCAUCUGUUUUUCCCAGCAGAGCGGUGACGGCACAUUCAAGUCAGCUUUCACCAUUUUAUAUACAAAGGGGACCAGUGCCACAGAAGGGUCCCCGGAGAAAUGA
rnacentral:lncRNA from 1 species